rnacentral:rRNA from 1 species
GACGUAGGGGGCGAGCGUUGUCCGGAAUUACUGGGCGUAAAGAGCACGUAGGCGGGUAAUUAAGUUAGGUGUGAAAGACCGGGGCUCAACCCCGGGGUUGCACUUAAAACUGGAUAUCUUGAGGGCAGGAGAGGGCAGUGGAAUUCCUGGUGUAGCGGUGAAAUGCGUAGAAAUCAGGAGGAACACCAGUGGCGAAGGCGGCUGCCUGGACUGACCCUGACGCUGAGGUGCGAAAGCGUGGGUAGCAAACAGGAUUAGAUACCCUGGUAGUCCACGCCGUAAACGAUGGAUACUAGGUGUGGGAGGUAUCGACCCCUUCCGUGCCGGAGCUAACGCAAUAAGUAUCCCGCCUGGGGAGUACGGUCGCAAGGCUGAA